rnacentral:snRNA from 1 species
AAAAAGGGCUUCUGCCAUGUGUGGCACGGGGCGAGGCCGUGCGGUUGCCCCCACGGAAUCGACAUCAAGAGAUUUUGGAAACACAAUUUUUGUAGGUAGGGGUCACUGGUAACCGCCUGUUCUGGCGUUUAA